GAAGGUUUGGUCCCAGCCUCAAUAUUAAUUUAAACCUGAUUUACACAUGCAAGUCUCAGCAGUCCGGUGAGAACGCCCUAGUUAUCCUAAAAAUUUGACUAGGAGCUGAUAUCAGGCACAUUACAAAAUAGCCCAUGACAUCUCGCUCAGCCACACCCACAAGGGAACUCAGCAGUGAUUAAUAUUGGUCCAUAAGCGCAAGCUUGAACCAAUCAAGGUUUGCAGAGUUGGUCAAUCUCGUGCCAGCCACCGCGGUUAUACGAGUAACUCAAGUUAAUAUUUUCACGGCGUUAAGGGUGAUUAAAAAAAAUCUUAUUACAAGUAAAGUUAAUACCUCAUUAAGUCGUCAUACACUCCCAUGUUUGGAAACAUCAAUCACAAAGGUAACUUUACACAAAAAGAACUUUUGACCUCACGACAGUUAAGACCCAAACUAGGAUUAGAUACCCUACUAUGCUUAACCAUAAACAUUGUUAUUAAUAAACCUACCUUAAUACCCGCCCGAGCACUACAAGCGCUAGCUUCAAACCCAAAGGACUUGGCGGUGCUCCAAACCCAUCUAGAGGAGCCUGUUCUAUAACCGAUAAUCCGCGUUCAACCUCACCACUCCUUGCCCUAUACCGCCUAUAUACCGCCGUCGCCAGCUCACCCUGUGAAGGCAUAACAGUAAGCAAAAUGACCCUCCCUCAGCACGUCAGGUCGAGGUGUAGCGAAUGAAGUGGGAAGAAAUGGGCUACAUUCUCUUUUAAGAACACACGAAAAGAAGCAUGAAAACCUUCUCAAAGGUGGAUUUAGCAGUAAGUGAACUUUAGAACAUUACACUGAAGCCGGCUCUGGAGCGCGCACACACCGCCCGUCACUCUCCUCGAAUAAUUCCACUAGUUUUUAUAAAAAAAUUUACCAACAAGAGGAGGCAAGUCGUAACAUGGUAAGUGUACUGGAAAGUGCACUU
rnacentral:ncRNA from 1 species